AUGGGGACGUUCCUUCCUGGACCUUUUUACAAUGGGGACGUUCCUUCCUGGACCUUUUUACAAUUGGGACAUUCCUUUGAAGUUAAUGUGUUACCUAGCACCGCAGGUAUCCAGUGUGAGGUGAAGCUGGUGGAAUCCGGAGGAGGCUUGGUACAGCCUGGGGGUUCUCUGAGACUCUCCUGUGCAGCUUCUGGGUUCACAUUCAGUGAUUUCUACAUGGAGUGGGUCCGCCAGGCUCCAGGGAAGGGACUGGAGUGGAUUGGUGCAAGUAGAAACAAAGCUAAUGAUUAUACAACAGAGUACAGUGCAUCUGUGAAGGGUCGGUUCACCAUCUCCAGAGACACUUCCCAAAACAUCCUCUACCUUCAGAUGAACACCCUGAGAGCUGAGGACACUGCCAUUUAUUACUGUGCCAGAGAUACACACAGUGAGAGGACUUCAUUUUGA